AAAGAAAAGGGUACAUCGGAAGUAGUUUCAGCAUCAUGAGGAAGGCCAUCAACAUGUGGAACUGUGAUAGGAAAAAAGGUAAUAAGAUUUGGAUGAAGGUUGAGAUGAAGUAACUUGUUGACUGUGUUUUUAGGAAUGAAGAAUGAGAUUUUGUGUCCCCUUUUGGCUAAUUGUUGGAGAGGUGAAGAUAUGGAAUUAACCCAUAGCAAACCAUGGAAACAUUGCUAUAUGCAAAGCAGGAGGAGGAGGAGCCAUUGUUUAUUGAUACUCAAUGGAAUGAAGUGAAAAUAUAUAUAUAUAUAUAUAUAUAUAUAUAUAUAUAUAUAUAGUAUAUAUAUUAAUAUAUAUAUAUAUAAAUAAUAAUAUAUAUAUGUGGUGCACAUUGCUAAUAUCACUACACUACAUUUAAGUAGGUUGGAAUUUUUUUAAAAAUUCUUAGUUUGGUAGCUGCAUAAGUACUAUUCAUCCAAAAAGACAUUGAAAGUUUUAGAAUUAGGGACCACAGUUGCAUCUCCUUUGUUUUUUUUUUUAUAAAUGAAAGUUGUCCAUUUUUCUCAUCAAUUUGCGUGAAUAAUUUAUUUUGUUCUUUCUCAUUUGUAUGAUUUUGGUUAGAGAAUUGUAGAAAGUGAGUUUGGUUAUAUAUGGUUUAGAAAAGUUUAAAUUGAUGUGUAAGUUAAAUUUUGUUAACAAAAUCAUUUAAUACUACUAGUUCUGUUCAUAGGCUACACAAAUGUUUCAAUUCAAUUUUUUUACCAAAUGAAGCACAGUUCUUCCCCGGCUUUCUCGGCCUCAAACGCAUAACCUUUAGGGAUUUUUAAUGCACCAAUGCCUCAUAAAAAUAUAAUAAUAUUUUUUGAUUUUAGAGAUGUAUCUCCGGAUACAUCCCAUGCACAUACGGUUCAUUUACUUUUGAGUCACGCUCCAAUUUUAUAUAUAAAUUUAAUUCGAAAAUCCUAAUUGCAUUUUCAAAAAUAGGGGUGUCUCGCAGUAGUAGAUUUUUACUAUGUAUUCUUCCAUUUAUGGUCACAAAUUAUCAAUGAUUGUACUGUGUUUGUACAUCAUUCAAACCACAUAGGAAAAGUCACAAAUUAUGGUAAAAUUUGAAGAAUAAGAAACUUCAAAUUAAACUUGGGGAUUUGGUUAUCAUAGUCCAUUGAGAAUUCCAACUUUCUGCUGCAAAGAAUCUUUUAAAACUCCCGUAAGAAAAAAUAAUCAAAAAAUUGAGACUAGGAAGUUGUGUUCAGUCAAAUACAUACUCAAAAUUGACUCAAUGGUUGACAGAUAAAAAUUAAAAUUAAAAUUUGAAAUUUUUUUAUUUGAAAAUUGAGAUUGUUGUGAUGCAAUAACAAGUUUCUUAAGACCCAUCAAGUUUUUUUUUUUUUUUUAUCUUUAGUAGGUUCCAUAAAUGUAUUUUUGGAAAGUCUCCAGAAAUACGUUUCUGAAAUAAACUUAUUCAUAGAAUUGAGGUAUGGCUAAAAAAUGAAUGAAUUGUUUAUGUGUAGGGUGCAUUUUUUGGAAGCAGAAGGUGCAUUUUGGGAAUCAGAGGGUGCAUUUUUGGAAUCAGAGGGACAUUUUUGGAUUUUCAUAGGGUGUUUUUCCAGCCCAUAGUGUGGGAUAAAAAAUUCCCUUACCUUUAUGGCAACCGACCCAAUCUCUGAUCAUCGAAAUGGAAGCGUGAGCAUCCCUUGGUCAUUCUCUCGCACUUAGAAACCCAAAACAAUCUCAAUUUUAAUCGUUCACCCUUCCAAAAAGAAAUCCUUUACUAAUCCUGUUAAUGAUGAAAUUUUAUUCCUCGGGGAUAGAUGUUGAGAAAAUUAGUCCAAUUUGUCAAACCAAUAAGACAACAAUAUAACAGCAGCAAUGACACAAUGUAGAAAUCAAUAAAACAACACAAAAGAUUGAUAACUUAGUUCGAUGCAAAUAACACCUACGUUUGGAGGACACUCUACCCAAGAAAGGAAAUUCACUACUUAGAAUUAGUACAAUUAGACUUAUAGGAACAUCAACUAGUGAUUUUCUAUUUAGGACUCCACCUAAAUAUGAGAACCCUCUCACUUUAUCUCAUUCACUAAAUACAAGUGAUCAACUUCAAUAAAAACUCUAAUCGUUGUUGAAUUUGUAACUCAACUAAGACAAGAAACAAGAAACAAACGACUGAAAAACUCUAGGCACUAAGAACUUAAACUAGCGCACAAAAAUCUUGUCAAACAUGAGAAUUGGGUCUCAUUAUAUAGCAAUGUAUUGUGAGCUUUUUCUUCUUGGAUGUCUGAAUUAAAUUUGUCCAUGAUAAUAGCUAAAUUUUGUUGGAUUUGAUGUGCUCCGUAAAAAUCUCCAAAAGAUAUGAUUUGUUAUAAUUCAAAUUCAAAUUUAAAUAUCCACUUAAGUCUAAUUUGGUCUUCAACAACUAUAAGAAAACAUUGUUAAAUAAUAUGCAAUAAAUCUAAUUGAAUCUCAAUAAGAAAUUUCUCACCUAACAACAUCCAUCAUGGUCUGCUAACCAAGGCUAGAUGAUGUACUACACAUAUGUUGGAACAUCGUGUUCCAUAUAUUACACCAGAACAUCCAGAUUUACUCUUCUUCAUAAAAUAUAAAUCUUCUUUAUAGAGUGAAUCUUGGAUUAGAUGAUUCUGAAUUAAAACUGUAAUACCAUUUGUCUGUUGUCAUAGACCAGAUGUUGUAGCACACACGUUGGAGCAUAGUUUUCCACAUGUGUCCCUUCUACACCAGAAACAUCUUAAGCUUACUCAAUGUUGUUUUGUAUAAUGCAGCCAAUCCAAAACGAACAACAAUCUCCCCCUUUGAAAAAAAUUGGCAAAAAAAAAAGAUCUUCAACUAGAAACAUAGUUGAGUAUCAAAGAUAUCCCAUACUCAAACCAAACAUGAACAUUAGCAAAAGAACAAACAUCAGAGCAUACAUCAACAACAUAAGCCAAAGCAGCAACACAUAAAAGUAGCAUGGUAGUUGCUACACAUCAGUCAUUUGACAAACAAAGAUGCUCCCAUUAAUAGUUAACAUGCAACCAUUCAUGAUAGGUUAGUCAUGCAUGUACACACAUUUAGUAGUCAUUAGUCGAAUGUUAUAAGCUAUUACUAACAAACAAAGAAAUCAUCACACAUAGUCAUACAAGGUUGAGGGCCAGAUGUCAAGACAGAUGUUUCCACGUGUGUGCAAACAUAAAUCAGAUCUCAUUAGUUAGUACCAAACAUACUAAUCAGUACUAAACGUAGCAGGAUAUAUCAAAUCAUCAGUAGAGCCUCAUACACUACAAAGUCAAUAGUCAAGUUAGUAAUUAACUCACUCCACUACACACACCAUUACUCCCCUCUUUUGCCAUAAUUUGGAAAAGGUGUACCUCAUAAUAUCAUUCAAUCGACUCAGAGGUUAGUAUGUUAGCACAUACAUACAUCAGAUCGAGAGUAGUCAAAUGUCAAUAAUUAUUUGGACAGACGCUGAGCACGAUGCUAAAGCAUCAUGCAUAGUUAUUAACAGAAAAUCCAUUACAUACCCAAUCAAUAAAAUAAAAUAUGCCCAAAGACAAGGGCCAAACAAACUAAAAAAGACAUGGAAUCAUGUAUUCAUCCCCCUUUAGAUUUUAUCUUUAGUCUAUCCUCUUAAACUCAUGAAGAUGAUCCAGUUUUCAUCAGCAUCUGACUCACUCUCUUGCACAUGUUUUUUCUCCACAGUCUUCACAUAUUUCAUGUCUAUCACAUCUCGAAAAAAUACGACCUUACAAGCAUUCACAUGCUUGCUGAAUGAUUGAAUAGAGUCUCCAUCGAACUUUAUUUAUUCCAAAGAAGGAAAGGGAAAAUAUCGAUAAAACUUUUAAAAGAAAAAGAAAAUUGUCAUCGCAACCUUUGGGUUCGGGAGUCGAUUAUGCAAGGAGAAUGUAUUAGCACCCAUCACAUUCGUUAUAUUCAACGAGAGCCAUUUAGUUAGAUUUACGAAAGAAUGACAACUUAUGUUAUUUGUUUUCUUCGAAUGAUCAAGAGUGCUAAAAGGAAAAAGAAAUGGGGUUGCAAAAAGGUUUUUACUAGGGUGCUUGACAAGAUUGUGAGUCUCGCUCCUACGUAUCCUCGGGUACAAUAAGGAAUUCAAAGCUACGUAGUUCUUCGCAAGAAAAAAAAUAUUUUUUUGGUGUUUUUUGUUAUACCGCUUGACGAGACGUUGGGUCUCGCUUCUACGUAUCCCACGGUGCGAUGAGGAAUUCAAAGCUACGUAGUUCUUGGUACAAAGAACUUUUUUUGUUGGUUUAUUUUAAUUGUUAAAAUGAAUUUAGUCGCGCUUUGGUGGAAAAAGACUCGGUGGUUGAAAAGGGUUUGCGCUUGGGCGAUGAAAGUUGUUUGAAAAAAGACUUACACUUGGGAAAAAAGUAAUUUUUGGAUAAAAUACUUGCACUUGGGAGAAGCAUGAUUUUGGAUAAAAUACUCGCACUUGGGCGAGGGAUGAUUUUGGAUUGGGUUUGAAAAGGGACUUGCUAUUGAUCAAGUGUUUUGGCUUUUUGAAUUGAAAAAUGGUUUGAUUUUAUGUUUCGAAAAAGAACUUGAUAUUGAUCAAGAGCUUUAGUCUGCAUUUUGAAAAAAGACUUGAUGUUGAUCAAGUUUUAUGGUUUGAAAUGGAUUGAUGAAUGUUGAGUUAUUUUUAGGAGAAUGAUGAAUGCUCGGUGGGAUCAAGACGUAUGCUUCGGAGCCAAUUAUUCGAGGUUUUCAUGGAAUGCAGGACUCCAAUGUACCUUUUUCAUUUGAUGCGUUUAUGAAAUUUAUUUGCGGACAAUGAACGUUUGGUAGAACCAAGACGUGUGCCUUGGGGCCGAUUAUUCAAGGUUUUCAUGGAAUGCAAGACUCUAAUGUCCCUUUUGUCCAAGUUUGAAUUAGGUAUUUUAGAACAAAAGAAAGAAUAAUCGAUAAAACCAAGACGUAUGUGUCAGAGCCGAUUGUUCGAGAUUUUCAUGGAAUGCGAGACUCAAAUGUUCCUCUUUUUUUAUUUUAUUAUAAAAAUAUUUUUUAAUAUAAUGUUUAAUUAGGAGAGUGGUUUGAUAACGAUGAAAUGGUGAGAUAUUUUGCAAACCAACUUGAUGUUGAUCAAGUAUUUAGUUUGAUUUUUGAAAAGUUGAUUUUAUGUGGUCAAGUUUUUUUAUUAAAUAAUUAACAAAAUUAAUCUUUUAAAAUAAAUUAAUUAGUUAAUGAAAUUAAUUAAAAAUUAAUUAAUCAAUUAAUCAAGUUAAUUAAAAAUUAAUUAAAAAAAUUAAUCAAUUAAAAUAAAUUUAAUUAAAAAAUAAUUAAUAAAAUUAAUCAACUAUAAUAAAUUUAAUCAAUUAAUCAAGUGAAUUAAAUCAAUUUAUAAAAUUAGUCAAUUAAAAUAAAUUUAUUCAUUUAGUAAAAUUAAUUAAAAAUCAAUUAAAAAAACUAAUGAAUUAAAAUACAAUUUAAUCAAUUAAUUAUAUAAAAAUAAAAUAAAAAUAGAUAAAUAGAUUAAAUAUAAAAAAUAAGCAAGAGAAAAAGGUGGUAGCGGACGCACGCGUGGCCCCACCCCAAUUCUUUUCUUCCACCUUUGGCACAUGCAGGAAAUUGAAAGAUGAGUUAUAGUAGCAAUCUAUUAACCUAUCAACAAAAAAAUCAAUUAUGCAAAAUUUGAGACUAUCCAAAAUACGAUCGAAUUUGACAAAUUAAUUUAUCGUUUAUCGCGCCAUAAAAAAUACCCAAGCGCGUCGCACGUUCGAAAUACAAUAGAGUCGUUAUUGAAUUUUAUUUAUUUUAAGAGAAAGAGAAAAUAUCAAUAAAACUUAAAGGGAAGAUAAAAAUGGUAAGUAAGUUGAUUAUGCAAUGUGAAGGUAUUAACAUCCCUCACAUCCGUUGUACUCAACGGAAACCGUUUUGAUUGUUCUUUGUGCGGAUGAGUGUUAUUAUCUAAAGUUACUUGCGAUUGAUUUUAAUAAAGGGGAAAAUAAUUUAUUAAUUAGUGUGCGCGUCAAGGAUUCAAACCCUUGUGCCUAUGUAUUAUCAUAGUGCAAUGAGAAAAUCAGAGUUUCGUAGUUCAUGGUAAAAAACUACGUAUUUGGUAGUUGUUUUUAGGGAAUGGUGUUAUAAUCGUAUCCCGAAAGUGCUUUGACGUUAGCUGGCUCGAUCCUAGUUCAGAUGCUUUAAGCUUUUAGUUUGGCUGCUAAGGAAUGAAUUAUAAUAGUUCUUUUAUGAAAGAUGAUUGUUGUUUUGAUUUUGAAAAGAGUUUGUGAAUGAAUUGGAAAAGAUUUGUGAAAUGGUGAAGUUAUUGUUUGGAUGUUGUUUGGACCAGGAUUGUAUUGUUUGAACCCAAUAGAGAGGUGUCUGAACGAGGAGUGUGGUAUUUAAUCAAUAAAUGGUAAUUAACCCAAUGCAGAGUUGUAGGGGUUUUGUCUAGAUCCGGGAACCAAGACCUACAAAGGGGAUUUGUCUAAGCACUGAGUCUGACAAGGAAAACAUGCAAGAGGUGGCUUGCCUAAAUAUUGGGACUCACAAGGCAAGCAUGCAAGAGAUGAGAGUUUUCCUAAACAUUGAGCCUGACAAGGCAAACAUGCAAGAAGAGGCUUGCCUAAGACUGGGUCUCACAAAGCAAGCAUGUAUGAAAUGGUUUGUCUAAGCCUGGGUCUCACAAGACAAGCAUGCAAGAAAAAUGGUUUGUCUAAGGACUGGGCCUGACAAGACAAACAUAAAAAAGAGGGGGUGCCUAAGCCUGAGUCUCACAAGGCAGAUAUGCAUGAAAAUGAGGGGUUUUCCUAAACUUGGGUCUCACAAGGCAAACAUGCAUGAAUAGAGUUUGUCUAAGCAUUGGAUCUGACAAGACAGACAUGCAUGAGAGGGUUUUAACCAUAAGAAGGUGAUUAACCCAUGAAUGAGGUGUUUAACCAAGAAAAUGUGAUAAACCUCAAGAGUUGUGUAUGGUUCAAAGAUGGAUGGUUAACCAAGAGAAGGUGAUUAAUCCAUGAAGAAGGUGAUUAACCAAGAGAAGUUGAUUAACCUCAAGAGUUGUGUGGGUAUCCCAAAGGGUAUUGUGUUUGGUCCAAAUAUAAUGAUGUUGUUGGUGUGGAUUAUUGAAUUGUUGAUCUGGGGAUGAAAGUUGAAAGUUGUUUUGAUUUGAAUUGCACUAAAGUCUAUGAACGAAGGUGAAUAUUUUGAAUAAUUAGGGCCUACAUCCCAUAUUCAAAGAUAUUCAGAACAAGGAUAUGAAUGCUCUUUCUCAUUCUUCUCCAUUUCUUAAGACACGUGGUGUACAAUUCACAUCAAAAUGGUCAAGUGUUUUGAAGUUGAAUAAGAAAAGAUUUUUUUUUUGUGUUGGAUAAGUUAGGGAACAAGGUUGGAAGAAAAGGAUGAGGUGUCAAAGAAUAGGAUCAUUCUUGAUGUUAACCUAUUUCUAGGUUUUGAAUGAAAAGGGAAUUGGGAUUGACUUAAUGGAUCAAGUGUAAGUGCAAGUAUAAAGAUCUAAUUCUAAUCAAAUGAUCAAGGGAUUUAUGAUCACUUAAUUGAAUGUAAAUCCUAAGGGAGCAUGCAAAUUGUCUUGUUAAGUAACUAAACCAUUAUUCUAAUUAAUUGAUCAACUAAUCAAAUCAACAAGGGGAUUAUACCAAUAAUUAGGUCAAACUAUUUAUAUCAAGAUUAAGACAUCACGAAGAAAAAGAGUUAAAAAAAGAUCAAAAGUUAGUGAUAAAAUGGUAAUGCUAAUUAUGUAUUAAAUCUAACAUAUUUACUAAUUAGCAAUUUUAAUUCUAACCUAAAAGUAAAAUCUAAGUUAGAACUAAUAAUUGUAAUUAACUAUGCUAUUAGAAUGUCCUUUUUUUAAUGUGUUAAAAAAUGCUAAGAAAAUAUUAAAAAUAACUAAGAAACAAUUAUUUCCGCGAGGCGGUAUGAAGCUGAAAAAAGGGUGUGAACAAUAUAAGGGGCGAUAGGCCUGAAGUUUGAGGCCCAUAUUAUUUGAAUUUUUGUUGAUUGGAUUACAUUGGGGGUAUAAGGAGAAUUCUGCAUUUUCAUAUUCUUCAUUUUACAUAUCCAACCGGCCUUGUUCAGAGCAUCAUUCAGAGGCACAAAAUUUACGAAAAAACUCUGUGUUCUUCAUUUUAUGCAUUUUGCAUUUCCAACUAGUCAUAUUUUGAGCAUCAUAAAACGUUCAUUUCUUAAUAAAAAUGGACAAAUAAAUAUGCGUUGAAAAUGUCUCAUGGUAUAGAACAAGAUUCUAUCAAGAAAAAAUGCAAACACAAAAAAUUCAGGAUAAACAGAGCCACAAAAUAUACGGGAAAAAAACGGUGUUCUUCAUUUUUUAUAUUUUUGCAUUUCCAACUAGCAUUCUUUUGAGCAUUAUAAAAUGUUCAUUUCUUAACGAAAAAUGGCAAAUAAAUACGCGUUGAAAAUGUCUCAUGGCAUAUAACACGAUGCUAUCAAGAAAAAAUGUAAACACAAACAAAAUCCAGGAUAAACAGAGGUACAAAGUUUACAAAAAAUAUAUCUGUCGACCAAAGCGAAAAGACUAACCCCUAAGCUUUUCCAAGCAAAGCGGGGUAUGGCUUGUAAUUUCGGUCACUUGUCAUUGGGGUUUUAAUAUAUGCUUAAUGUAUCAUUAACCUAUCUCAUCACUCUUGAUAUUUGAUAUUCUUUUAUUCUAUUGCCAGAGAAUAAUGGAGAUCAUUGAGAUUUAUUGACUAUAAGGUCUACAACACAUAAUUUAUAAUCCAUAUGGCGAUAGCAUAUGAAUAGUAUAAUAUGAUUAUCUCCUAGAAGCCAUAUUUGUCAUUAUUAUUUUGAUGAUGAUGUGGCGCUUCUUUAUUGGCCAAUACUUAACCCAAUCUUUUUUCUUUGGAUCGUUGGAUCUUCGUCUCCUAAUCUUAUACUCCUGAGAAAAAUGUUUCUUCCAGAUAUUAUAUCAUAUUUAUAUUUUUCUUAUAUAUAUAUUUGAAUGAGUUGUACUUCCAAUUUUUCUCCUUUUGUUUCCUUCACACAAUUUUUGUUUGCUUUCGAAGUGUUCUUGUUUCUCUUCUUUAGCAUGCUUCCGUUUUUUUUAUGAUCUUCGUUCUUCGACUCCCUUACUCGUAAGUAUUUAUUAUCCUUUAUUUAUGUUUAUUUUUAUUUUUGGUAGGGGUUACAGUGAACAUUUGAUAAAGUGGUUUUACCAUUCCCCUGCUUCUCCUCGCUCAUUUUUUGCAUUGUGCAUGUUUUAGGAAAGUUGCUAUGGUUUUUCUACUAUAGCAUUUCUAUUGCUCUUCCUUUCCUGCAAAGAGGAGUAGUGAGUAGGUGUGAUUAAUGUUCUGGGUUGGGCAAAUACCCAAUAAAAGGAGAUCUAUUUAUUACUCCAAAGAAGUUCUAACAACAAACUUGAUCAAAGGUUAUAAAUAAUUUUACAUGUGUAAGAUCUAAGGUAAACAUACUUUCCAUACUUCAAUCUAACGUCCGUUUGUGACUCAUUAACUCACUUGGACGUUGGAAUGAUGAUCGUGCAGCUCCAUCCCCGUGAUCCAUCGCAUCAAAGACUUGCAACAUUAGAAAUCUAACAUCAUAAUUCAAAUAUAUUUUUUAUUCUGAUCUGAAACUAUGACAUCAUUUAUGAGAAUCAACCAUUGGUUCUUGCGAUUUUCCAUGAUCAAGUCUUAUUUGAUAUGAAAGUCAAUUCGCCUUAACGUAACGGAAAAUUUAAAAAAAGUAUUUUUAUAAAAACCAUUUCUCUAAUACGAUAAAAAUCUUUUUUUUUAAAGCUCAAACAAACAAUUUCAUAUGUUGACAAACACUUUCGAUCCAACAAUUUGCAUGCAUAUGUGAACAUUUAGAGAACCGCUCGUCUUUGCUACGAGCAAGGGAUGACAAUGGACAGGGUUUGGGUAGGGUACUAUAGUACUCAUCCCCUCGUACCCGAACCCAUACCCGCUUGGGUACCAAUAUUGGCACCCGUGCCCGUAUCCUAUGGGUAUGUAAGUGUUCGUACCCGUACCCGUACCCGCAACCCGCAUUUUUAAUAAAAAUAAAUAUGUCAAGUAUAAAAUAUCAUAUUAUUUUAAGUUUUUAGCAACAUUAAAAAGUUUUUCAAAAUUUUUAAUUUUUUUUUCAAAAUCCAAUAAUAAUAAUAAUAAUAAUAAUUAUUACUAUUAAUAAUAAUGAUUUGAUAAAAUCAAAUUACUAAUAAUGAAAGUCUUGUUAGUAUCUCAUUUCAUCUGAUUGAUAAAACCACCAAUACUACAUAUAUCCCUCCUGAAUCGGUUCAAACUAUCUAUAGGAUCAUUACAGAAACUGUUAAAAGGAUGCACUAUUGUGUCAUAGUCGACUCAACAAUUGAGAACAAGAUGAAUUGAAUAAAAUAAUAGUGCCAUGUAGAAAGAAAUAAUUAGAUUAGAAAUAAUGUAAAUUGGAAUAUCCUUUACUCUACAGAACUUGAUGCAGUGUUCUUAUUUAUAAUCAAACUGAAUUAGCAACAUUCAUUUUCAUUGUAACUGAUAAAUGCUAGAGCAAAUCAUACAGUUUUUGACAGAAACUAUCAACACAUGAAGAUUCUAAAUUGUUGCUAAGGAGGAGCUUUCUCAUUUUGUCAUGAUUUGCUCUCACUUCUCUUCCAACCUCAUUCUCAUCAUCCAUCACAAUCUUCACAGCUUUGCACACAUUUUGUUUUGUAAACAAUCCAUCUUCAUCACCUUUCUCAACUUCCACACCAACCUUGAACUUUGUACUCAUCACUCUUGCAUUCAUUAUAUGAUCUGAGCCGGCACGUGGUAACAAAACCAACUGGCACGUGUUAACAAGUCCCUCAGUUAUAGAAGCAGCUCCACAGUGUGUGAUGAAACAUCCAACAGAAGGGUGUUCCAAAAUCAGUUGUUGUUGUAUCCAACUUCCAUAAACAAUCCCUUUUCCUUUAACUCUUUCACUGAACCCUUCAGGUAAAGCUUCUUCGAUAGAUUCAAAUCCAUUAGGUGACUUAAGUGCUGCGAGAAACGGAAAACCUGUUAACUCAAGACCAAGCAACAACUCUUGAAAUUGAUUUAUUUCCAAUGGACCUUCACUUCCAUAUGCACAGAAAACAACAGAUUCAUGUUUGAAUCCCUUAAGCCAUGAUUCCCAUUUUUCCUCUAGAGUUGUAUUUGGUGGCUCGGGUAAUAGAGGACCUGAAAGAAGAACAGGUUUUCCAAAAACAGUUUGAAGAUAAUCAGUAUAUAAACCAUCGAUUUCUCUGCAACCUUUGAAAGCAACCACAUCUGAAAACUUUGUGCCUAUGUCGAUCCGAUCAUAUAAUAAAACACCACUGCCAAAUUCUAGCUUCCUUGCUGAAGCUAGGAACCGAAGUUCGUGUGAUUGAAGCCUGAUGCAUGAAUCAGGGAACUCUGAAGGUGGUUUCAUGAGAUCAAGUUCAGUUAACUCUUUUCCUCGACUUUUUCUCGUUAUAUUUCCAAGGUAAGCGGUUGAUAUUGGAUUCCAUAUCAAAUAUUGAAGACUUUUGAUACCAAGUUUUUGAGUCAAAUUCGGUAGCCAAUAUUGAAAAUCAAAGAAAACAAUCUGUGGUUUUAGUUCCUUUAGAAGAAGUUCAAUUUGUUUAUCAGUUUGGUCCAUGGCAGUAGCAAUAAGAGGGAAUAAAGAAAAGGGUACAUCGGAAGUAGUUUCAGCAUCAUGAGGAAGGCCAUCAACAUGUGGAACUGUGAUAGGAAAAAAGGUAAUAAGAUUUGGAUGAAGGUUGAGAUGAAGUAACUUGUUGACUGUGAUAAAGAAAAGGGUACAUCGGAAGUAGUUUCAGCAUCAUGAGGAAGGCCAUCAACAUGUGGAACUGUGAUAGGAAAAAAGGUAAUAAGAUUUGGAUGAAGGUUGAGAUGAAGUAACUUGUUGACUGUGUUUUUAGGAAUGAAGAAAGAGAUUUUGUGUCCCCUUUUGGCUAAUUUGUUGGAGAGGUGAAGAUAUGGAGUUAAAUGCCCCAUAGCAAACCAUGGAAACAUUGCUAUGUGCAAAGAAGAAGGUGAAUCCAUUGUUGCU
rnacentral:lncRNA from 1 species